rnacentral:rRNA from 1 species
GACGAACGCUGGCGGCGUGCUUAACACAUGCAAGUCGAACGGAAAGGCCCUGCUUUUGUGGGGUGCUCGAGUGGCGAACGGGUGAGUAACACGUGAGUAACCUGCCCUUGACUUUGGGAUAACUUCAGGAAACUGGGGCUAAUACCGGAUAUGAGCUCCUUCUGCAUGGUUGGGGUUGGAAAGUUUCGGCGGUUGAGGAUGGACUCGCGGGGUAUCAUCUUGUUGGUGGGGUGGUGGGGUACCGAGUCGUUGAGACGUAGCCGACCGGCGGGGGUGAUCGGCAACAUUGGGACAGAGACACGGCCCAAAGGCGUACGGGAGGCAGCAGUAGGGAAGCGUCGGCAAUGGACGAAAGUCUGACGGAGCAACGCCGCGUGAGGGAAGAAGGUUGUCGGAUCGUAAAACUCGGUUGGUAGAGAAGAACGUUGGUGAGAGUGGAAAGCUCAUCAAGUGACGGUAACUACCCAGAAAGGGACGGCUAACUACGUG